AUUGAACGCUGGCGGCAUGCCUUACACAUGCAAGUCGAACGGCGGCACGGGUGCUUGCACCUGGUGGCGAGUGGCGAACGGGUGAGUAAUAUAUCGGAACGUACCUUAUUGUGGGGGAUAACGCAGCGAAAGCUGUGCUAAUACCGCAUAAUCCCUAAGGGGGAAAGCGGGGGACCGUAAAGCCUCGCGCAAUUAGAGCGGCCGAUACCUGAUUAGCUAGUUGGUGAGGUAAAGGCUCACCAAGGCAACGAUCAGUAGCUGGUCUGAGAGGACGAUCAGCCACACUGGGACUGAGACACGGCCCAGACUCCUACGGGAGGCAGCAGUGGGGAAUUUUGGACAAUGGGGGCAACCCUGAUCCAGCAAUGCCGCGUGAGUGAAGAAGGCCCUCGGGUUGUAAAGCUCUUUUGUCAGGGAAGAAACAGCAGCUCUAACACAGUUUGCGAAUGACGGUACCUGAAGAAUAAGCACCGGCUAACUACGUGCCAGCCGCCGCCGUAA
rnacentral:rRNA from 1 species